rnacentral:rRNA from 1 species
GACGAAGGAUGCAAGCGUUAUCCGGAUUCAUUGGGUUUAAAGGGAGCGUAGGUGGCCUGAUAAGUCAGUGGUGAAAUCUCUGGGCUCAACCCAGAAAUUGCCAUUGAUACUGUUAGGCUUGAGUAUAGUUGCCGUUGGCGGAAUAUGAAAUGUAGUGGUGAAAUACAUAGAGAUGUCAUAGAACACCGAUUGCGAAGGCAGCUAACGAAACUAUAACUGACACUGAGGCUCGAAAGCGUGGGGAUCAAACAGG